UACGUAGGGUGCAAGCGUUGUCCGGAAUUAUUGGGCGUAAAGAGCUCGUAGGCGGUUUGUCGCGUCCACUGUGAAAUCCCGGGGCUCAACCCCGGGCCUGCAUUCGAUACGGGCAGACUAGAGUUCGGUAGGGGAGUCUGGAAUUCCUGGUGUAGCGGUGAAAUGCGCAGAUAUCAGGAGGAACACCGGUGGCGAAGGCGGGACUCUGGGCCGAUACUGACGCUGAGGAGCGAAAGCGUGGGGAGCAAACAGG
rnacentral:rRNA from 1 species